rnacentral:rRNA from 1 species
UAAUACCGGAUGACGCAUAUGUGCUGGAAUGCUUUAUGCGUAAAACGGAUUCGUCCGCCCAAGGAUGGGUCUGCGGCCUAUCAGGUAGUAGUGGGUGUAAUGUACCUACUAGCCUACAACGGGUACGGGUUGUGAGAGCAAGAGCCCGGAGAUGGAUUCUGAGACAUGAAUCCAGGCCCUACGGGGCGCAGCAGGCGCGAAAACUUUACAAUGCGGGAAACCGUGAUAAGGGAACACCGAGUGCCAGCAUCAUAUGCUGGCUGUCCAGAUGUGUAAACUACAUCUGUUAGCAAGGGCCGGGCAAGACCGGUGCCAGCCGCCGCGGUAACACCGGCGGCCCGAGUGGUGACCGUUAUUAUUGGGUCUAAAGGGUCCGUAGCCGGUUUGGUCAGUCCUCCGGGAAAUCUGAUAGCUUAACUGUUAGGCUUUCGGGGGAUACUGCCAGGCUUGGAACCGGGAGAGGUAAGAGGUACUACAGGGGUAGGAGUGAAAUCUUGUAAUCCCUGUGAGACCACCUGUGGCGAAGGCGUCUUACCAGAACGGGUUCGACGGUGAGGGACGAAAGCUGGGGGCACGAACCGGAUUAGAUACCCGGUAGUCCCAGCCGUAACUAUGCUCGCUAGGUGU